GAUGGGGGGUUUUUUCGCAGGCUCUUUGGCUCUUUGGCUCUCUCUGGCUCUCUCUCUCUCUUGGGGGCUCUCUCUCUGAAAUUUUUGGCCGAACAGACGGCUCUCUCUUUGGGGAUUCUCUCUUCCUCUCUCUGUAACUGCUCGAUGGAGCUCUUCGAGGGGGCAUUGAAGGAAAUCCUAAAUCUCAGGAUCUCUCUCCCUUCUCCUCCUCCGCACCAGAAACCCUAGGCCAGAAGUUCUCAAUCGGAGGCUCCCGGGUUUUUUCCCGAAGAUCUGACACUUUCUCGUUCGAUGAAGAUGGAGCAUCUGCCGGUCGAAGAGCUCAAGGUGUGAGACUCGGAUUCGCACAAAGAUCGGAGAUUUUCCAUAACGCCUUGGAGAUCUGCCGUCUCCGUCCGUUUUUCGCUGAGUACCCCACGCCGAUGUAGCUCCUCCGAGGCUACUACUUCGAGCCAGGCUAGAAGAGCCACCGCGGCACCUGUCAUCAACGCUGUGAAGGAGGAGGUGAUCGAGUCUCCCGUCGCCGAACUCGCCGCCGAUUCCAAAGCCCCGUCCUCGGCAUCUUCUAAGCUAGUCCUUGUCGCCAGAGACUCCGGUGGCGUUAAUACAUCGCUUCUUUUCUCCAAUGAUCUCAGUCCUCUCUUGAAGUUUCAUUAAUGGAAAAGCUUGUCUAGGUUUGAUAGUUGAACCGGAUGAGUUCUAGAUUCUUAAAUGGUGAUGCUCUAAUAAGGUGAUUUUGUUUGUGGAUCUUUCUUUAGCUGCUUUUGUUUAUCGUGAUCAUGAUAUAUCCAACCAAGUAUGUGCGCUAUGUUUUUCUUUGACCUUCGGUGAUGAUAUGGUGACGAACUAUUGACGUAUUCCUGCAUCUAGAUCAUUAGAUGAAAAUGUCCGCCAUAUGUUCGAUGAUUUUUCUAAAUGAAACUAGGGUACAAAUUUCAGUAAAGUUCCAGCAUGUUAGCAUCUGGUUGAUGAUUUAAUGUUCAAACUAAGAUGUAUUCGUUCAAUCUCCUCAUUGUGCUUUUGAAUUGAUCUAUUGUUUUGCUCUGUCAAGUCUCUGUUUGUGCGCUACUUGUUUGGUCCCUAUUCAUUUUUUAUUCUCAGCUUUAGUCGAUUUCAUUGACCUCAUUCUACAGCAAUUAUUUGUUAAUUGAUCUUAAGUGGUGAUCAAGAAUCGCAUGUACGAAAACUGAAAUUGAUUGCAACAUUUUUCUCUGAGUUUGAGUAAAUCGAGUUGAUCUGGAUGCUCAGCAUGUUCUGAUUUUGUCCACCGAGAGUGAAUAUGAAUUACAUGUUCUGUUAUGUGAGGAAUAGCGCAAAUGAUGUAUGUGUACACAUUGAUAAGCACCUUAAUUUGAUGAUCAAUGAUCACGAACUUGAGGUUAAUUGAGUUUGAUUUCUAUUAAUCUGCAAAUUUUGUGUGUUUGUGAUAGACUUUCUGUUUUGGCUUAAACAAGGUGUUAGAUAAGGUUUUUUGACUUCGAGCCCUUCUAGACAUAUAAAAUAAACUUUUAGAGCUUCGAUUUGAUAUGAUGUAUUGUUUUUUUGGUUGCUUGAUGUGUUUGAUUGUUUCUUUCAUUUGUACGCACCUAGUUAUAGUUUUUUUUAGGCUAGGAUUAUAUUAGAAUUCCGAAGGUGGAGAAGGCGUGAAGAUGGUGUAGGUCGAUGUCCAUUCCGACCGUUAUUAUGUAAUAUUCAUUUCUCUCCCGACAUAUGUCUCGGGUUCCAUGCAAUGUAUAAAACCCGAUGAGUUGCGGGUUUUCUUUCUUUCCCAAUUGUUUUCUCUUUUACAUUUUUAGAAUUGCAUGAUUAGGUUUAACUGCUUUCCCUUGAUUGUUUACUUCAUGUCUUGCGAUUUAAUUUUCAUCGAUUGUUUUCCUUUCAUUUCUUAGGAAUAUAAUAGAAUAGAAUAGAAUGAAAGUAAUCCACCACGCAUGAUCAUUUAGUAUAGAAUUGAC
rnacentral:lncRNA from 1 species